rfam:Corchorus capsularis cultivar CVL-1 contig06627, whole genome shotgun sequence.
GGGUGCGAUCAUACCAGCACUAAUGCACCGGAUCCCAUCAGAACUCCGCACGGUAAACGUGCUUGGGCGAGAGUAGUACUAGGAUGGGUGACCUCCUGGGAAGUCCUCGUGUUGCACCCC